rnacentral:rRNA from 1 species
CCUCGGGAGGCAGCAGUGGGGGAUAUUGCACAAUGGGGGGAACCCUGAUGCAGCGACGCCGCGUGGGUGAAGAAGCGCCUCGGCGCGUAAAGCCCUGUCAGCAGGGAAGAAAAUGACGGUACCUGAAGAAGAAGCCCCGGCUAACUACGUGCCAGCAGCCGCGGUAAUACGUAGGGGGCAAGCGUUAACCGGAGUUACUGGGUGUAAAGGGGGCGCAGACGGCGAUGCAAGCCAGGAGUGAAAGCCCGGGGCCCAACCCCGGGACUGCUCUUGGAACUGCGUGGCUGGAGUGCAGGAGGGGCAGGCGGAAUUCCUGGUGUAGCGGUGAAAUGCGUAGAUAUCAGGAGGAACACCGGUGGCGAAGGCAUCUCACGAAUCCGCGAUUGACGCUGAUGCACGAAAGCGUGGGUAUCAAACAGGAUUAGAUACCCGGGUAGUC